rnacentral:misc_RNA from 1 species
GCUGGUGCAUCGAACUGUCGACGCCCAUCUUCUUCAAUAUUUCCCCAAGCGAAAGCUCUUUCCUUGUGGGUUCGUGCGGUAUCCUGUGUUGCUUUCCAAUAAAAUGGAAUUUGAUGGUUCUGGUGGUUUUGAUCCGCCUUGUGCCCUUCGGGGUGCGGGGUGCACACGAGGCAAGCACUGUGAUCCUAACAAGCCUAGUGCUUCAGCAGCGCUUGGUUGUUGUGGCCCAUGGUGUCUCUGCUUGUUCUCUCGGAUGCGGAAAGCUAUGUGUGGGGCGUGAGGUCUCGGCCUCUAAUCGUCCAAGCACUGUCCCUUGACUCGAAUGAUUGCUGCACCUGUCUUGAUCUUCCCGACCAAGGCCUCAUUACGGGGCUUACUGGACGAGGGGGGACCAUGCGGGGUUGGCGUCAAAGAGGAAAGCACUGUCCCUUGACUCAAAUGACUGCUGUAUCUGUCUUGAUCUCUCCGACCAAGGCCUCGUAGUGGGGCUUACUGGACGAGGAGCGAUCAUGCAGGUGUUGGCGUCAAAGAGGAAAGC